rnacentral:rRNA from 1 species
CAUGCAAGUCGAGCGGGGAAGGUAGCUUGCUACCUGACCUAGCGGCGGACGGGUGAGUAAUGCUUAGGAAUCUGCCUAUUAGUGGGGGACAACAUUCCGAAAGGAAUGCUAAUACCGCAUACGCCCUACGGGGGAAAGCAGGGGAUCUUCGGACCUUGCGCUAAUAGAUGAGCCUAAGUCAGAUUAGCUAGUUGGUGGGGUAAAGGCCUACCAAGGCGACGAUCUGUAGCGGGUCUGAGAGGAUGAUCCGCCACACUGGGACUGAGACACGGCCCAGACUCCUACGGGAGGCAGCAGUGGGGAAUAUUGGACAAUGGGCGAAAGCCUGAUCCAGCCAUGCCGCGUGUGUGAAGAAGGCCUUUUGGUUGUAAAGCACUUUAAGCGAGGAGGAGGCUACUUGGAUUAAUACUCUAGGAUAGUGGACGUUACUCGCAGAAUAAGCACCGGCUAACUCUGUGCCAGCAGCCGCGGUAAUACAGAGGGUGCGAGCGUUAAUCGGAUUUACUGGGCGUAAAGCGUGCGUAGGCGGGCUUCUUAAGUCGGAUGUGAAAUCCCUGAGCUUAACUCUCAGGAAUUGCAUUCGAUACUGGGAAGCUAGAGUAUGGGAGAGGAUGGUAGAAUUCCAGGUGUAGCGGUGAAAAUGCGUAGAGAUCUGGAGGAAUACCGAUGGCGAAGGCAGCCAUCUGGCCUAAUACUGACGCUGAGGUACGAAAGCAUGGGGAGCAAACAGGAUUAGAUACCCUGGUAGUCCAUGCCGUAAACGAUGUCUACUAGCCGUUGGGGCCUUUGAGGCUUUAGUGGCGCCAGCCUNACGCNGAUAAAGUAGACCGCCCCGGGGGAUAAACGGUCGCAGGACUAAAACCUNAAAUGGAAAUGACGGGGGGCCCCGCACCAAGCGGGUGGGAAGCAUGUGGGUUUAAUUCGAUGCAACGCGAAGAACCUUACCUGGUCUUGACAUAGUAAGAACUUUCCAGAGAUGGAUUGGUGCCUUCGGGAACUUACAUACAGGUGGUGCAUGGCUGUCGUCAGUUAGUGUCGUGAGAUGUUGGGUUAAGUCCCGCAACGAGCGCAACCCUUUUCCUUAUUUGCCAGCGAGUAAUGUCGGGAACUUUAAGGAUACUGCCAGUGACAAACUGGAGGAAGGCGGGGACGACGUCAAGUCAUCAUGGCCCUUACGACCAGGGCUACACACGUGCUACAAUGGUCGGUACAAAGGGUUGCUACCUAGCGAUAGGAUGCUAAUCUCAAAAAGCCGAUCGUAGUCCGGAUUGGAGUCUGCAACUCGACUCCAUGAAGUCGGAAUCGCUAGUAAUCGCGGAUCAGAAUGCCGCGGUGAAUACGUUCCCGGGCCUUGUACACACCGCCCGUCACACCAUGGGAAUUUGUUGCACCAGAAGUAGGUAGUCUAACCGCAAGGAGGACAGCUUACCACGGUGUGGCCGAUGACUGGGGUGAAGUCG